rfam:Zea mays cultivar B73 chromosome 7, whole genome shotgun sequence.
GAGCGAUGACAGAUUUCUGCGCUCAUCCGUGAUUGAUUGGGUCCAUCACAGCCGUCUGAUUCCAGAGACGACAAGAUGCGCAUCUGAGCUC